CAAAAACAUGUCUUUUUGUUAUUAAUAUAAAGUCUGUUCUGCCCAUUGAAAUUUAUUGUUUUAAAAGGCUGCAGUAUUUUGACUGUACUAAGGUAGCAUAAUCAAUAGUUUUUUAAUUGAAAACUAGAAUGAAGGAAUUAAUGAAAUAUAAACUUUCUUAAUUAUUUUUAUUGAAUUUUUAUUUUAAGUUAAAAUUCUUAAUUAUAAUUAAGGGACGAGAAGACCCUAUAGAAUUUUAUUUAUUAAAUCUUAAUUUUUUAUAUUUAAAUUUAAGGAUUUAAUAAAUUUARUUGGGAGGAUUGUUAAAUUUACAAAACUUUAAUAUACAAUUAUCAAUAAUUUUUGUUUAUAAAGAGUAUUUAAUAAAUAAUAAUAGAUAAAUUACCUUAGGGAUAACAGCGUAAUAUUUUUGGAAAGAUCAAAUUUAUAUUAAUGAUUACGACCUCGAUGUUGAAUUAAGAUAAAUUUUAAGUGCAGCAAUUUAAUAAUUAAGUCUGUUCGACUUUUAAAAUCUUACGUGAUCUGAGUUU
rnacentral:rRNA from 1 species